UACAGAGGGUGCGAGCGUUAAUCGGAGUUACUGGGCGUAAAGGGCGCGUAGGCGGUCUUGAAAGAUUGAUGUGAAAUCCCUGGGCUUAACCUAGGAACUGCAUCGAUGACUGUAAGACUAGAGUAUUGUAGAGGGUAGUGGAAUUUCCGGUGUAGCGGUGAAAUGCGUAGAGAUCGGAAGGAACACCAGUGGCGAAGGCGGCUACCUGGACAAAUACUGACGCUGAGGCGCGAGAGCGUGGGGAGCAAACAGGAUUAGAUACCCUGGUAGUCCACGCUGUAAACGAUGAAAACUAGAUGUUGGUCAGCGAGACUGAUUAGUAUCGAAGCAAACGCGAUAAGUUUUCCGCCUGGGGAGUACGACCGCAAGGUUAAA
rnacentral:rRNA from 1 species